CCUACGGGUGGCUGCAGUGGGGAAUAUUGGACAAUGGGCGAAAGCCUGAUCCAGCCAUGCCGCGUGUGUGAAGAAGGCCUUCGGGUUGUAAAGCACUUUCAGUGGGGAAGAAAGCCUUGGGGCUAAUACCCUCGAGGAAGGACAUCACCCACAGAAGAAGCACCGGCUAACUCCGUGCCAGCAGCCGCGGUAAUACGGAGGGUGCGAGCGUUAAUCGGAAUUACUGGGCGUAAAGCGCGCGUAGGCGGUCUGAUAAGCCGGUUGUGAAUGCCCCGGGCUCAACCUGGGAACGGCAUCCGGAACUGUCAGGCUAGAGUGCAGGAGAGGAAGGUAGAAUUCCCGGUGUAGCGGUGAAAUGCGUAGAGAUCGGGAGGAAUACCAGUGGCGAAGGCGGCCUUCUGGACUGACACUGACGCUGAGGUGCGAAAGCGUGGGUAGCAAACAGGAUUAGAUACCCGAGUAGUC
rnacentral:rRNA from 1 species